GCUAUUUCUACAUGGGGGUGUCAGAGCCUGGCCCCAGGCUGCCCCAGUUCAUCGCGGCCGGCUACGUGGACAACCAGCCCGUCAUUGCCUACACCACCAAGACAAAGAACGCGGAGCCCAGAACAGAGUGGAUGGCGAGGAACCUGGACCCGGCGUACUGGGACCGGGAGACACGGAUCUUCCAGGUCAAUAAGGCCAGGUUCAGAGAUGCUGUGGAGACGCUGAGAAACCGCUACAACCAGAGCAGGGGGUUUCACACUUGGCAGUUCAUGGCUGGCUGUGAGUUACUGGAUGGCAGAAGCACCGGUGGGUACUGGCAGUACGGCUACGAUGGAAGAGACUUUAUCAGCCUGGAUAAGGAGACCCUGACCUGGACAGCAGCAGACACAGGAGCACAAGUCACCAAGGGGAAGUGGGAGGCUGAUAGGAGCUUGGCAGAGGAUGGCAAGCGGUAUCUGGAGCAGAACUGUGUCGAGGAGCUCAGAAAGUACCUGGAAUACGGGAAGGAGACUCUGCAGAGGAAAGAGACCCCGGAAGUGAAGGUGUUGGCCAAGGAAGCCCCCGAAGGCCCCACCACCCUCUCCUGCCGGGCCCACGGCUUCUACCCCCGGGACAUCGCCAUCACCUGGGUGAAAGAUGGGGAGACCAGAGACCAGGAGACGCAGCGAGGGGGCAUUGUGCCCAACGGGGACGGGACCUACCACACCUGGGUGACCACAGAGGUAGAUCCCAAGGAGACAGACCUGUACAGGUGCCGAGUGGAGCACGAGAGCCUGAGGAAGCCCCGUGAUUUCUUUUGGGUUAAGGACAAGCCCAACUCCUCGCUGAGCUCCAUCAUGGUUGGAGUUAGCGCUGUCCUCACCCUGGUCGCGGGUGUGAUAAUCAGAGUCAGCGUCUGGAGAAGGCAGUCAGGCAACAGCUCUGGACAGAUGAGGGCAGAUUCUCCGGCUGCUCUGGACUCCCAGGACAACAGAAGCAAUGCAGACCCAGAGUCAGUGCAGUGUGACCGCCCGCUGGGGCCUGAGCCAGAGACCCUGAUGGAAAUUGCUCCUGGGGCAGGAAGGAACUGGAGACUGUUAGCUCUGUGAUGAUCUUGUUCCCUGCCCUGAGUCUGUCUGUGAGCCCAGGGGUCGGGGCUGUAUCAGGCACCUCAGCCCGUGGACGCAGAUCGGAGCUGGUUCCGGCCCUGAGAACGGCUGCGCUCACUGAAACCUCUUCUCUCUCCGCGGGGAGAAAGGGAGCCGGCUACUCGCCUCCAGUGUAACAGGGCCUGUCAGAUGCUGCGCCUGGAGGGGUCCCAGGGAAACCAGCACAGACCGAUCGCCCUGCAGCUGCCCAUCAGCCCCUUCCUGUCUCCUCUGAGUGUCCUGGGAGGGGCUCCGGGCCCUGCUUGCUUUGCCAGUUGAUGGAGCUUGGCCAGGAGUGUCACUGACAGUUCAGCAGCGAGUGACUGCAGGGACGGCUGCUGCCACACCUCUUCCUGCUGUCAGCAUGCGAGAGGAGUCCAGGCGUGGAAACAAGGCUGAAAUUGACCAUGUGCCAAGAAGGAGAGUUUAGCAAGGAAAACCCACAGUGAUGUGAAUAUCAGCGAGGCAAAGACCUGUC